UGGGGAAUAUUGGACAAUGGGCGAAAGCCUGAUCCAGCCAUGCCGCGUGUGUGAAGAAGGUCUUCGGAUUGUAAAGCACUUUAAGUUGGGAGGAAGGGCAUUAACCUAAUACGUUAGUGUUUUGACGUUACCGACAGAAUAAGCACCGGCUAACUCUGUGCCAGCAGCCGCGGUAAUACAGAGGGUGCAAACGUUAAUCGGAAUUACUGGGCGUAAAGCGCGCGUAGGUGGUUUGUUAAGUUGGAUGUGAAAUCCCCGGGCUCAACCUGGGAACUGCAUUCAAAACGGACUGACUAGAGUAUGGUAGAGGGUGGUGGAAUUUCCUGUGUAGCGGUGAAAUGCGUAGAUAUAGGAAGGAACACCAGUGGCGAAGGCGACCACCUGGACUAAUACUGACACUGAGGUGCGAAAGCGUGGGGAGCAAACA
rnacentral:rRNA from 1 species